AGUGAACGCUGGCGGCAGGCCUAAUACAUGCAAGUCGAACGGCAGCACGGCAGAGCUUGCUCUGUGGGUGGCGAGUGGCGGACGGGUGAGGAAUACAUGGGAAUCUGCCCAGUCGUGGGGGAUAACGUAGGGAAACUUACGCUAAUACCGCAUGCGCCCUUCGGGGGAAAGCCGGGGACCGUUCGGGCCUGGCGCGAUUGGAUGAGCCCAUGUCGGAUUAGCUAGUUGGCGGGGUAAUGGCCCACCAAGGCGACGAUCCGUAGCUGGUCUGAGAGGAUGAUCAGCCACACUGGAACUGAGACACGGUCCAGACUCCUACGGGAGGCAGCAGUAGGGAAUAUUGGACAAUGGGCGCAAGCCUGAUCCAGCCAUGCCGCGUGAGUGAAGAAGGCCCUCGGGUUGUAAAGCUCUUUUGUCCGGAAAGAAAGCGCCGGGUUAAUACCCUGGUGUCCUGACGGUACCGGAAGAAUAAGCACCGGCUAACUUCGUGCCAGCAGCCG
rnacentral:rRNA from 1 species